rnacentral:rRNA from 1 species
AUUGAACGCUGGCGGCAUGCUUUACACAUGCAAGUCGAACGGUAACAGGCCUUCGGGCGCUGACGAGUGGCGAACGGGUGAGUAAUGCAUCGGAACGUGCCCAGUCGUGGGGGAUAACGCAGCGAAAGCUGUGCUAAUACCGCAUACGAUCUGCGGAUGAAGGCGGGGGACCUUCGGGCCUCGCGCGAUUGGAGCGGCCGAUGUCAGAUUAGGUAGUUGGUGGGGUAAAGGCUCACCAAGCCAACGAUCUGUAGCUGGUCUGAGAGGACGACCAGCCACACUGGGACUGAGACACGGCCCAGACUCCUAUGGGAGGCAGCAGUGGGGAAUUUUGGACAAUGGGCGCAAGCCUGAUCCAGCAAUGCCGCGUGCAGGAAGAAGGCCUUCGGGUUGUAAACUGCUUUUGUACGGAGCGAAAAGGCUCCCUCUAAUACAGGGGGCUCAUGACGGUACCGUAAGAAUAAGCACCGGCUAACUACGUGCCAGCCGCCGCCGUAAUAC